AUCAUUCGUCGAAAUCUUCAUAUCUAUGUCUGUUUGUUACCGUCCAGUUCAUUUUAUAUUCGUCUGAAGUAGUAGUGUUGGAGUAGUUCUUGUUGACACCAUGUUAGUCUUGCUCCGUUGAAAUAUAAAAAAAUGAAAACACAAGUAUUUUAGAUAAUUCUUUUGUGCGAAUUAAAUUUAGUUCCUGAACGGUUUUUUUUUACAAAUCAAUGAUAUCUUAUUCCAACUAAAGUAAACAUGAUUGCUAUGUCUUAUUGUUCAAAAUCUUAGAAAAUGUUG
rnacentral:lncRNA from 1 species